CGCGUAGGCGGAUGUUUAAGUCGGGGGUGAAAGCCCGGGGCUCAACCUCGGAAUUGCCUUCGAUACUGGACGUCUUGAGUACGGGAGAGGUGAGUGGAACUCCGAGUGUAGAGGUGAAAUUCGUAGAUAUUCGGAAGAACACCAGUGGCGAAGGCGACUCACUGGCCCGUUACUGACGCUGAGGCGCGAAAGCGUGGGGAGCAAACAGGAUUAGAUACCCUGGUAGUCCACGCCGUAAACGAUGAGUGCUAGUUGUCGGGCGGCAUGCCGUUCGGUGACGCAGCUAACGCAUUAAGCACUCCGCCUGGGGAGUACGGUCGCAAGAUUAAA
rnacentral:rRNA from 1 species